rnacentral:rRNA from 1 species
UACGUAGGGAGCAAGCGUUAUCCGGAUUUACUGGGUGUAAAGGGCGCGUAGGCGGGAUGGCAAGUCAGAUGUGAAAGCCCGGGGCCCAACCCCGGUACUGCAUUUGAAACUGUCCGGCUGGAGUGCAGGAGAGGUAAGCGGAAUUCCUAGUGUAGCGGUGAAAUGCGUAGAUAUUAGGAGGAACACCAGUGGCGGAGGCGGCUUACUGGACGGUAACUGACGCUGAGGCUCGAAAGCGUGGGGAGCAAACAGG